rnacentral:ncRNA from 1 species
GAUGGACUGACCGCUGGUGAACCAGUUAUGCCGCCAGGUGUACGGCUGGGUAGCUACGUCGGGAAUAGAUAAGCGCUGAAAGCAUCUAAGUGCGAAACUAGCCACGAGAUGAGACUUCCUUACAGGGUCGUUGGAGAUGACAACGUUGAUAGGCUACAGGUGUAAAGGUUGAGAGACCAAAGCCGAGUAGUACUAAUAGCCCGAAGCUUUCCAAGC